rfam:Pan troglodytes isolate Yerkes chimp pedigree #C0471 (Clint) chromosome 9, whole genome shotgun sequence.
GCUGGGCAUGUUGGUGCACGCCUGUAGUCCCAGCUACUCAGGAAGCUGAGGCAGGGGGAUUGCUUAAGCUUAGGAGGUCAAGGCUGCAGUGAGCCGGGAUUGUGCCACUGCACUCCAGCCUGGGCGACAGAGCAAGACCCUGUCUCAA